GUGUCAGCCGCCGCGGUAAGACAGAGGGUGCAAACGUUGUUCGGAAUGACUGGGCGUAAAGCGCGUGUAGGCGGCUCGGCAAGUCGGAUGUGAAAGCCCUGGGCUCAACCCAGGAAGUGCACUCGAAACUGCCGAGCUGGAGUCCCGGAGAGGAAGGCGGAAUUCUCGGUGUAGAGGUGAAAUUCGUAGAUAUCGAGAGGAACACCGGUGGCGAAGGCGGCCUUCUGGACGGCGACUGACGCUGAGACGCGAAAGCGUGGGGAGCAAACAGGAUUAGAAACCCUCGUAGUCC
rnacentral:rRNA from 1 species